rnacentral:rRNA from 1 species
UACGUAGGGGGCAAGCGUUGUCCGGAAUCAUUGGGCGUAAAGAGCUCGUAGGCGGUCUGUUGCGUCGGCUGUGAAAACCCGGGGCUCAACCCCGGGCCUGCAGCCGAUACGGGCAGACUAGAGUUCGGCAGGGGAGACUGGAAUUCCUGGUGUAGCGGUGGAAUGCGCAGAUAUCAGGAGGAACACCGGUGGCGAAGGCGGGUCUCUGGGCAGUAACUGACGCUGAGGAGCGAAAGCGUGGGGAGCGAACAGG